rnacentral:rRNA from 1 species
UACAGAGGUCCCAAGCGUUGUUCGGAUUCACUGGGCGUAAAGGGUGCGUAGGUGGUGGGGUAAGUCGGAUGUGAAAUCUCCGAGCUCAACUCGGAAAACUGCAUUGGAAACUACCCUGCUAGAGGGUCGGAGGGGGGACUGGAAUACUUGGUGUAGCAGUGAAAUGCGUAGAUAUCAAGUGGAACACCAGUGGCGAAGGCGAGUCCCUGGACGACUCCUGACACUGAGGCACGAAAGCUAGGGGAGCAAACAGG